GAUGAAGAACGCAGCGAAAUGCGAUAAGUAAUGUGAAUUGCAGAAUUCAGUGAAUCAUCGAAUCUUUGAACGCGCAUUGCGACCGCCAGCAUUCUGGCGGGCAUGCCUGUUCGAGCGUCAUUUCAACCCUCGAGCCCCCCCGGGGGCCUCGGUGUUGGGGGACGGCACACCAGCCGCCCCCGAAAUGCAGUGGCGACCCCGCCGCAGCCUCCCCUGCGUAGUAGCACACACCUCGCAUCGGAGCGCGGAGGCGGUCACGCCGUAAAACGCCCAACUUUCUUAGAGUUGACCUCGGAUCAGGUAGGAAUACCCGCUGAACUUAAGCAUAUCAAUAAGCGGAGGA
rnacentral:misc_RNA from 1 species